rnacentral:rRNA from 1 species
UUGGAUUUGUGGUUGGGUUCGUCGGUCCGGCACAUUGUGCGGGUACUUGAUGGACUCGUCCAUCCUUGGGUGGAAUCUGUGUGGCAUUAAGUUGUCGUGCAGGGGAUGCCCAUCGUUUACUGUGAAAAAAUUAGAGUGUUCAAAGCAGGCUUAUGCCGUUGAAUAUAUUAGCAUGGAAUAAUGAGAUAGGACCUUGGUACUAUUUUGUUGGUUUGCGCACCGAGGUAAUGAUUAAUAGGGACAGUUGGGGGUAUUCGUAUUCCAUUGUCAGAGGUGAAAUUCUUGGAUUUUUGGAAGACGAACUACUGCGAAAGCAUUUACCAAGGAUGUUUUCAUUAAUCAAGAACGAAAGUUAGGGGAUCGAAGAUGAUUAGAUACCAUCGUAGUCUUAACCAUAAACUAUGCCGACAAGGGAUUGGCGGUCGUUGUAUUGACUCCGUCAGCACCUUAUGAGAAAUCACAAGUCUUUGGGUUCCGGGGGGAGUAUGGU